rnacentral:rRNA from 1 species
UAGGGAAUCUUCCACAAUGGACGAUAGUCUGAUGGAGCAACGCCGCGUGAGUGAAGAAGGGUUUCGGCUCGUAAAACUCUGUUGUUAAAGAAGAACAUAUCUGAGAGUAACUGUUCAGGUAUUGACGGUAUUUAACCAGAAAGCCACGGCUAACUACGUGCCAG